ACACCUGAGGGGGGAAAAACAUUUCAGAUGCUUCAUUCUGCCUGCUCCAACCCCUCCUCCAUUUUGAUUUUUAUGUUUUCAGUGUUUUGUUGGGGAACAUGUGCAUGUGUGGAGGAGAUCAGAAGACCACUUAGGAGAGUCGGUUUUCCUUCUGCUCUGUGGCAUCAAGCCCAGGGUUCUCUUGGCCCCAGCCCCACAGUUCCUGGUUGGUGCCCCUCCCAGUGCGGUUAUUUCAAAUAAUGCUUACCCUUGGAGGUAAUGUUAAUUGGAACAAGAUGCAGAACGGACUGCUUCUCUAAGGAAAGGAGGAGGAAACAGCAGUGUUGACCUGCCCCCGGAGUCCACCCUCCACCCUCACCUCAGCUCUGGUCGUCAUUCCUCAUGCUCCUGGCUCACCUCCAACCCUGCAGAAACCCCAGGGCUCACUCACUCUUGUGCUUCUGGGUGAGUACUGCUCUCCUUCUCCGAGAUUUGGCCCCAUCCUUCCAGGCUCCCAGGACAUCAGGACUCUGCUCAUGAAAGAGGGCCAGAGUUUGACUAAGAUGUUAAGGAUCUUACACAACCUUCCCAGCCCUUCUCAACGCCUGAAUGGCUGAAAUGUAGGAACCUGUCAUAGGCCCCUGGUCUGGGCACUGACUGCCUUUCAGGUGCUCUUGGCAUUAAUCUUUAACUGUUUAUUUUCCUGGAACGGCUGGCUGUUCCCUUGACUUCCCAAUCCAGGGCCACCUCUAGCACUCACUUGAAAGUUUGCAGGUUGAGAGGCUCUGAGAGCCUCUGCCAUUCACCCUUUACCCCUAGAUUCCCAUCUCCCUUAACUCACCUGUUCCCAGAGGCUCUGCCAUGGAGGCUCUCCCCGCUUCUGGGAAGCUCCUCCACUCCGCUGCAGCCGGCUCACCUCCCGCCUUAGGCUCUGCAACUCUGCUUGUUGGAUCAGUAGUGCGACAGCACAAGUCACAGCCCCCAGAACUGCCCCCCAACUCAACCAAAGAGUGACCGAAAGGGCUGGCUCUCUGACUGAGCCUCCCAUGUUGCCUGGAGAUGAGGCUGGCAUGAGCUAGGGACCCUGCUGACAGCUGUGGGCUGCAAGUGAGGUGGCCAGGAGGUAGCAGGGAGGGUGGGAAUACAGGCAAAGGCGCAGAAGGGAAGAGCGAGUUACGCAAGGGAGAAAUAAAAAGGAACUUGAGAAUAGGAAGAAAUCAAGCUAGGGUCCUAUUAGUCCCCUGAUCCCCAGCUAGUGUCCCUCUGACACCCCUGGCCCCCUCCCCCCCAAGCCUCAGGAGAAUUUGGUGCCAAUUAUCUAGGAAGGGCAGGGCAGCCGUGACACCCAGAAGGAGCGGUCAGCGUUCAGGAGCCCAGGGGCGGCCCCUAAGUUGGAGGAGGGAAGGUCGGUUGGUUAUGGGGCAUGGUGCCAGGGGCAGGGAAUGGGGACAAGCUCAGCAGCAUGAGCCUUAGAAGGUGAGUGUGGUGGACUCUCUCUCUGCCUGAGGCACAAAUGACAGCUUUGAGGAGGCUUGUUAGGGGUGACUGGAAAUGAAAAAAAAAGGGGGGCUAGGGGCCAGCAGGGAGGAGAACCAAGGACAAGAAACUGGCAGGGUGCUGGGGUUAAGGCUGGGCCGGGUGUGUUGGAACCAGGCCUGCACUACUCCCUGUGCUGAACUUGGCAAGCCGGACUUCCUGUUUCCCAAGAAGAGUUCUUACAUAAGGUUCUCUGGACAAAGAGAAAAGAAAAAAGCCCCAAGCCCCUCAGUCAGCGCAGCACUCCUCCCCACACCCAUACGGCUGGCCCACCAGAGCCCUUCCUAUGGCUCUGAGCCCCUUCCCGGGCUAGCUCCAUUCCAUCUCCUAGCCAGGCCCGUGCCAGCACCUGCUCAACUGCUGAAUGUCCUGAGGCCGCCAAGAGGAAGGACCCUGCUCCUCCCAGCCAGGGAUUCCCCUGCAGGAGGAAGUCCGCUGCUAGGAAAAUGAGGCUGCUUCUGCAGCGCCUUGUGCAGAGGACCAGGUGGUUUUGUUGUUGUUUGCAUGGUUUUUUUUUUUCUGGUAUCUUUGUGAUUUCUAUUCAAAACUGCAGCUUGGAGGCUUGCAGGUCCCCAUUCCCCAAAGCCUAAGAUUCCCUUCCCACAACCUUCAGUUACACUGAACCCCAAAGAAGAGAAAUCAUGAUUUAUUCUCUUUAAUAUCCAUUUAACAUUUUGUCACAAUAAUAAUAAAAAUAGUAUCUUUUCAAAAUCCACAGGGAUCCAGGGAGGAGCUUGUCUCCAUCUCUUUCCCCUCACAUUUGGGAACUUCUGGCCUAGUCCCAGGUUCUUUGGCUUCCUGCCACCAGGUCCAGCCUAUCUUGAUGCCUGAUGCACAUAGUCAGUAAAAACAGGGUCCCAGGGUUGGGGCGGGGUAGUCGGGUACGUGGGGGCUUUGGGAGCUCGUGAGGCGGGCAGCUGUGGUGGGGUGGGAGGUUACAGAAGAACGGGAAUAUGUCUGUGGAAUGGAAAACAUGUCAUCAAGCCCUGGCUGCCUUGGAAGAGAGGACAGGACUGGAGCAAGGAACAGCUAGAGGGUGGAGGAGUGGGCGUGGGGUGGGGAGGUGCUGUGGUGCUCUGGGAGCUGUUAGGUUAAAGUUUAAAGAACCUGGGAGAGCAGGAC